rfam:Schistosoma mansoni strain Puerto Rico chromosome 5, complete genome
AUCCAGCUGACGAGACCCAAAUAGGACGAAACGCGCAUCCUGGAU